AACGUAGGAGACAAACGUUAUCCGGAUUUACUGGGCGUAAAGGGCGUGCAGGCGGUCUGUUAAGUGCAGGGUGAAAGCUCCCGGCUCAACUGGGAGAGGUCCUUGCAUACUGGCGGACUUGAGGGGGGUAGAGGAAAGUGGAAUUCCCGGUGUAGUGGUGAUAUGCGUAGAUAUCGGGAGGAACACCUGUGGCGAAGGCGGCUUUCUGGGCCCUACCUGACGCUGAGACGCGAAAGCGUGGGGAGCGAACCGG
rnacentral:rRNA from 1 species